GCCGUCUUAACUCAAUUAGUAGAGUCUGUGGUUUUUAACCACGUGGUCGUGGGUUCGAUUCCCACAGACAACG
rnacentral:tRNA from 1 species